UACGUAGGCAGCGAGCGUUGUUCGGAGUUACUGGGCGUAAAGGGCGCGUAGGCGGUUUGUACAGUCAGGUGUGAAAUCCCCGGGCUCAACCUGGGAACUGCAUUUGUGACUGUAGAGCUGGAGUGCGGCAGAGGGGGAUGGAAUUCCGCGUGUAGCAGUGAAAUGCGUAGAUAUGCGGAGGAACACCGAUGGCGAAGGCAAUCCCCUGGGCCUGCACUGACGCUCAUGCACGAAAGCGUGGGGAGCAAACAGG
rnacentral:rRNA from 1 species